CUACUCCAGCAUUCUGGUGGGCCUCUUUUCCUGGUGGAGAUGUCUAAGAGAGAGGUCAGUGGUACAAACUAUAAUCCUCACAACUGAAGACUCAGGCCUGCGAGUGGAGGAAGAUCUAAGAAGAACUUACCUUUGGAUGAACUGUUUUCAACUCUGGCCUCUUAAGAGACUGUGGUCUCCGCCUGCUCUAAUCCCAGUAAGGAGAACACCUGUCCCCCAGGUGUUGCUAACUGCUCAUUGUCUUUUCCACAGGACCAGGCUGCAGCCAGGGCCCAGGCCACAGAAACCAACUCUGGACAAGUAGCUGAGGUAGAGAAUAGGAAUCAAAGGAAUAACUGAGGAGACGAGGCCAACAGAAAGAUUGAAUGAGGAAAUCUGGGAGGAGCCUAACAAGAAGAACACGUGGAUUUCCUUUUCAGGUAUGCCCAUCAAAGUAAUUCUACUCCAACAGAUGUUUUUCUGCUACUUUGCCAAUUUUCAAAUUCCUUGGGUAAUAUCUCUGAUUGGCUCAGUUUAGAAGAGUUUUUAA